AACGAACGCUGGCGGCAUGCCUAACACAUGCAAGUCGAACGAGACCUUCGGGUCUAGUGGCGCACGGGUGCGUAACGCGUGGGAACCUGCCCUUAGGUUCGGAAUAACUCCCCGAAAGGGGUGCUAAUACCGGAUAAUGUCUUCGGACCAAAGAUUUAUCGCCUUUGGAUGGGCCCGCGUUGGAUUAGCUAGUUGGUAGGGUAAAAGCCUACCAAGGCGACGAUCCAUAGCUGGUCUGAGAGGAUGAUCAGCCACACUGGGACUGAGACACGGCCCAGACCCCCACGGGAGGGAGGAGUGGGGAAUAUUGGAACAUGGGCGAAAGCCUGAUCCAGCAAUGCCGCGUGAGUGAUGAAGGCCUUAGGGUUGUAAAGCUCUUUUACCCGGGAUGAUAAUGACAGUACCGGGAGAAUAAGCUCCGGCUAACUCCGUG
rnacentral:rRNA from 1 species